GAUGAACGCUGGCGGCGUGCUUAACACAUGCAAGUCGAACGAUGAAGCCCAGCUUGCUGGGUGGAUUAGUGGCGAACGGGUGAGUAACACGUGAGUAACCUGCCCUUAACUCUGGGAUAAGCCUGGGAAACUGGGUCUAAUACCGGAUAGGAGCGUCCACCGCAUGGUGGGUGUUGGAAAGAUUUAUCGGUUUUGGAUGGACUCGCGGCCUAUCAGCUUGUUGGUGAGGUAAUGGCUCACCAAGGCGACGACGGGUAGCCGGCCUGAGAGGGUGACCGGCCACACUGGGACUGAGACACGGCCCAGACUCCUACGGGAGGCAGCAGUGGGGAAUAUUGCACAAUGGGCGCAAGCCUGCUGCAGCGACGCCGCGUGAGGGAUGACGGCCUUCGGGUUGUAAACCUCUUUCAGUAGGGAAGAAGCGAAAGUGACGGUACCUGCAGAAGAAGCACCGGCUAACUACGUG
rnacentral:rRNA from 1 species